CCUGCUCGGCGCGGCGCUGACUCCCGGGCUGCUGCGGCUGGUCCGGCAGGAGGCGCCGGGGGUUUCGCUGCGGUUCCGGGCCGAGGAGUGGGA
rnacentral:tRNA from 1 species